rfam:Heligmosomoides polygyrus genome assembly, scaffold: HPBE_scaffold0003745
CCGCCGGUGGUGUAAUGGCGUAGAGCAUUCCCGCCCGGUCAGAGGGAGGUGCGGGUUCGAGUCCCGCCUGGCGCU